rnacentral:rRNA from 1 species
UGUGAGUAAUAUAUCGGAACGUACCCGGCAAUGGGGGAUAGCUCGGCGAAAGCCGGAUUAAUACCGCAUAUGCCCUGAGGGGGAAAGUGGGGGACCGUAAGGCCUCACGUUGUCGGAGCGGCCGAUAUCAGAUUAGCUAGUUGGUGGGGUAAAGGCCUACCAAGGCGACGAUCUGUAGCGGGUCUGAGAGGAUGAUCCGCCACACUGGGACUGAGACACGGCCCAGACUCCUACGGGAGGCAGCAGUGGGGAAUUUUGGACAAUGGGGGAAACCCUGAUCCAGCCAUGCCGCGUGAGUGAAGGAAGGCCUUCGGGUUGUAAAGCUCUUUCGGACGGAAAGAAAUCCUAUUCACUAAUACUGAGUGGGGAUGACGGUACCGUAAGAAGAAGCACCGGCUA